UACGUAGGGUGCAAGCGUUAAUCGGAAUUACUGGGCGUGAAGCGUGCGCAGGCGGUUAUAUAAGACAGUUGUGAAAUCCCCGGGCUCAACCUGGGAACUGCAUCUGUGACUGUAUAGCUAGAGUACGGUAGAGGGGGAUGGAAUUCCGCGUGUAGCAGUGAAAUGCGUAGAUAUGCGGAGGAACACCGAUGGCGAAGGCAAUCCCCUGGACCUGUACUGACGCUCAUGCACGAAAGCGUGGGGAGCAAACAGG
rnacentral:rRNA from 1 species